ACGGGACACCUGCAUCUGCCAACAAGACUGGAAGCAGGUGAGGCACACAGAGGGGGAGGCCCGCAGCUGCGUGGGAGGAGGGGUGGUCUGAGGGACGUGGGAUGCCGGGAAUGAGGCUGGUUUGCAGGUUGGCGCAUGGACAUUUUCCCAGAAAGGGACAGAGACGGCGAAGUUUGACGGUCUGGAAAGCAGAGACCAGCAGGGCUGACUGCUUGGGAGCACCAAAUAUCCGGACAGCGCCUCUCGGGAGGUCCGAGAAGAGAACCGCGAUCUGUUUCAGCACCGGGGCUCAGGACAGUUCCCAGCGGGCUCCGUUUCGUCUCCAGAACCCUGGACAGCUCCUCCAGCCUCAGGGCUUUUGCCUCUGCUGUUCCUGCAGCUUGGAAUGCACUCCCUCCACCUCCAACCAGAGCUCCCCACAACUGACCCUGCCUUCUUCUGCAAGCUCCAUUUCAUCAAGGGAAACGAUCCUUAUUGCCUCACCAUUUCCCACGUGAAGUCUGUAUUGACAUUCUCAUAGACCUGGGAUAUUGUGUCUGCAGCACAUAGUCCAAUUAUUUUCAUGUUAUCUACUGACAGGUCUAUUUGUCUCCCUGUUACACUGUGAGCUCCGUGAGGGCAGAAACAAUGUUAGUAUUUUCACUGCUGUGUCCCCAGCGCCUGGUCCGGGGCCCGGCACACAGCAGGCAUAUAAUAAGCAUGUGUUGAAUCAAUAAAGGCAUCAAAGAAUAAACCAA
ensembl:lncRNA MIR7-3HG MIR7-3 host gene